AAGAAGUGACUCAGGUCUCCACCAAACCCUCAGCUUUCAAGUGGAGCAAGCUGGCAGAGACCAACACUGAGCCAGCUGCCCCAGCCUGUCCCAUCCCAUCCCAUCUCCUCCACUGUCAGCCCCAGGAGAAGGCAGCAAGCUCCACAGGUGGCAGAAGCAAACUGCUGCUGCCUCCAUCCCCAGCCAGACUCCCUGCACAUGGCUCCAACCUAAGAAUGAGACAACAGGGGAAGAAAAUCAAAGAGGAGCAUCACCAGCAUUCCUCCUCCUUACAGUGAAAAGCAGGUGCCUUGGGAAGGAGGAGCUGAGUGAUUUUCCACAAGGCAGAAGAGAGGAAAACAACCUUGGGCUCCACCUGAAGUUUUACACAUUACAAUACGGCAGGUGAACUUUAAGCCUGACCUAAUUUGUGGAUCCUCAGCCAUCACCAUGAUUGCUGAAUCACCAAAUCAGGUACUCAAUUAUUUUAAAGCUCUUGCAUAACCAUACACAGAUUGCCAGGUGAUUUUGUUAGCACAAGACUCACCUGCUUUCCACUCCCUGGAUUCAACAUAAUUCAUUGCAAGCUCUGCUAAAAAGCGUUAUUUUACUCCCUUCUGUCCUGCAGCACUUCUAACUUCUUCACUUAAACCUUCUAACUUCCCCUGCUUCAUAAAGCAGGCAUGAAAUCCGGUAUAAAAUAAAUCUGUUACUGACUACAGUUGUCUACAAGAGGAAAAACCACCUUGCUCAGGGGCUGGGUGGUUUGACUGCAAAUAACUUCAGCAAAAACCUGUUCUUGUCCCAGCAAGAACACCCUUAAUGCUUCUGCCUCUCCAAAGCAAUUGUCUCCCACCCUCACUGCAACUUAAUGAGAAGGUUAGCAGCAAUAGGCCACAUAUUAGAAGAAAAUGGUGUGUUCUCAUGCAGGUAUGGUAGAAAGAUGGAUAGGAACUAAAGCAAAAGGUACUGCCCAGGAGAUCACAGCUCCUCCCUGGGUACUGUCCACUUUGGGUGAUGGAAAAGCUGCUUGAUGGCUCCUGCGACUGAAACUGUCCUAGAUCAGAAGCCUCUCACUUUAAAGAACGUGCAUGGCUUGAGCCAGAGAAAAAGUAAGUCCUGAACUCAAGAGGACUCAGUGCAAAGCCCUCCUGAUCCUGCAGCCUCACAUAUUUAUCCUCUCCAAGCUCUUCUAU
rnacentral:lncRNA from 1 species